GUGCAAGACGCUGUCAACAAGUACAAAAUUCUAGUGGUUGUCGGGUGUACAGGAAAUCAUGGCCAGUGUGAUAUCAACAAACCAUUGUGGAAGCCCAGGACUGAAAAUCUAAAAAAAGCAGAGGCCUUCAACUAAUUUUGUAAAUGUCACAUUCUGACGAUUCAAGAGCAGGUGUGAGGGCAAAACAAUAAGGGGUUUGAGGACAUGGGAACAGGGCAGACAAAAGGCACAGCUAGCAACAUCAAUGACCAGCAGAGCACAAGCCUGGGAGGCACUCUUAUACUGGACUAACGAGGGAGCAGACGAGAGGCAGCUGGAGUGAUCCACAUGUGGGCUGAGGCGAGAGAGGAGCCUGGGGGCCUGGAGCCAGUAGGCCCACUGGACAGGAUGCCAGUCCAUGGCAGGGCCCACACUGUACAGCACAUACUGUAACUGUAUGUUAAGAAAACAUUCUGCCUGCAGACCAUACCCUGCAUAAGAC